rnacentral:rRNA from 1 species
UACGGAGGGGGCUAGCGUUGUUCGGAAUUACUGGGCGUAAAGCGCACGUAGGCGGCUUUGUAAGUUAGAGGUGAAAGCCCGGGGCUCAACUCCGGAAUUGCCUUUAAGACUGCAUCGCUAGAAUUGUGGAGAGGUAAGUGGAAUUCCGAGUGUAGAGGUGAAAUUCGUAGAUAUUCGGAAGAACACCAGUGGCGAAGGCGACUUACUGGACACAGUAUUGAC